rnacentral:pre_miRNA from 1 species
GGUGCGUGAGGUGGUUGACCAGAGAGCACACGCUAUAUUUGUGCCGUUUGUGACCUGGUCCACUAACCCUCAGUAUCU